UACGGGGGGGGCAAGCGUUAUUCGGAAUUACUGGGCUUAAAGGGUUUGUAGGCGGCCUUGUAAGUCAGGUGUGAAAUCCCUCGGCUCAACCGAGGAAUAGCGCUUGAUACUGCAAGGCUUGAGGGAGACAGGGGUAAGCGGAACUGAUGGUGGAGCGGUGAAAUGCGUUGAUAUCAUCAGGAACACCGGUGGCGAAAGCGGCUUACUGGGUCUCUUCUGACGCUGAGGAACGAAAGCUAGGGGAGCUAACAGG
rnacentral:rRNA from 1 species